GGAUGUGUUGAGCAGUGUGGUGAGCUUAGCUGGUUGUAACCCAGUAAUCUUUGAUCUUGCAGGUUCGAUUCCUGCCACAUCCACCA
rnacentral:tRNA from 1 species